rnacentral:rRNA from 1 species
AUUGAACGCUGGCGGCAGGCCUAACACAUGCAAGUCGAGCGGAUGAAGGGAGCUUGCUCCUGGAUUCAGCGGCGGACGGGUGAGUAAUGCCUAGGAAUCUGCCUGGCAGUGGGGGAUAACGUCCGGAAACGGGCGCUAAUACCGCAUACGUCCUGAGGGAGAAAGUGGGGGAUCUUCGGACCUCACGCUAUCAGAUGAGCCUAGGUCGGAUUAGCUAGUUGGUGGGGUAAAGGCCUACCAAGGCGACGAUCCGUAACUGGUCUGAGAGGAUGAUCAGUCACACUGGAACUGAGACACGGUCCAGACUCCUACGGGAGGCAGCAGUGGGGAAUAUUGGACAAUGGGCGAAAGCCUGAUCCAGCCAUGCCGCGUGCGUGAAGAAGGUCUUCGGAUUGUAAAGCACUUUAAGUUGGGAGGAAGGGCAGUAAGUUAAUACCUUGCUGUUUUGACGUUACCAACAGAAUAAGCACCGGCUAACUUCGUG